rnacentral:lncRNA from 1 species
AGAAUAGUGACAUUCAAUUACCUCAUAUAUAAAGAGAGCUCCAUGGAGAGCUGGAAAGUGCAUGCCACUACAAUAUUAACACAUCCCAUCUUCCCUUUCUUUUUGCAAGGCUGUUGAAUUUCAGCCCGGCAUCCCCACACACUAACACCAUCAGGUCUUCCACAUUUGAUGGUUACACCACAGGAGCCCACACCAGACUGCUGCUUCCCUGUGAGCUCAGAGUGAAAUUGUUCUCAGGGGUAUUUGCAAGGCCUUGUCAUCAGUUAAAGACUAGCAGCUGACUCCAGGUGAUUCUACCCCGCUGUCACCUCUCCAAAGGGGAAAUUGAAUAGUGGUAUUGCUCACUGUGGUGAGUGUUCUUUGCACCACCAGAAGAAACUGGUUAAUGAAUGUACUAUUUAGAAGAAAAGUUUUGACAUUUAAAGAUUACUAGUUGUUCCCUUUCCCCAGGAAAAGAAGGUCAAAGUACAGUCUUCCCUGUUGCAGAGUUUGGAAUAACUCUGUUUGCCCUGAUGCUUUCCAGCAGGAGAACUGUAUUAUGUAGAGGGGUCCUUGGCCAGCAUCAAAGGAAAAAAAUUAUUUUUUUCCUAGACCUGUAUUUUUCCUAUUACAGUCUUCCAUUUAUUUCUUCCUCCAGAUUAAAAGUGCCUCUUCCUACCUCAUUCCUUAAUUAAGGUCAAUUUAGUGUUGGCUCAAAUGCUUUCAUCUCAAAAAUACCGGAAUUGAAUGGUAAUUUGGAUAAUUAAGUUAUCGUGCAUUUUAAGCAGCAUGUGUUUCCUUUUUCCGUGUGAGUUCCAUGAGCCUCUGCACUGCCGCUCUGCACUGCUGAACUGAUCACUGUGGGUCAUUCUGGCUCCUCUUCCUUCCUGUCAUCUACCUUUUGGCCAAUCUACUCUUCAUCAGGGGAAAGGAACAAACUUCAAAUCUGUGAGUUAUUCUUUCUGUCAGAAGCAACGUGCUAGAGAGAAUACAUGGGAUUUGAAGAUAAUCAGUGGACUCAUCUUUCUAUCCACAUGGUAACUAUGCCCUUGACAGGUGGUAUCAUUUCACAUCAUCAAUUGUCUUUGUUAAGUCCAUACUUAAUUGGUUUGACUCCAGGUUUUGAAAACAAGAUCGUAACAUUCAAAGGACUCUAUAUUCCAAUUCUCAGCUAGCACAACUAAUAAAGUUGCUGGACAGUAAAACUAGGCGCCAGUGCUGUGAUCCUUUAAGGAAGCCUUGAGUAUCGCAGCAGUUAAUGCUGGGUCCUAAGAGGAGAGGUCAGGAAUGAUUUGACCUUCUGAAUGCACCAAAUGUCCCACGUGACUUUCAGAUACACCAAGCAUCUUUUCAAGGAGAAAGCUUUUGAUGUUUAACAAAAGAAUUUCCAUCACUUAAUUCAAAUAUUUUUAAAACAGAAAGGAAAACACAUUCUCUGAAUUAAAGUCACCUUUGAAUCAUAUCCACAAGGAUUGUGUUACAGGGCAAAAUCCACCAACUGCCAGGAUAUGCCCGAGUCACCAUGGCUGGGAAGUGCUCAAGACUGGAACAUUUGUGUUUGAGACAAUGGAAUCUUUUUAUAAUGUUGGCUUUGGGAGAAGGGGUGACGGUCUUGCUUUACAACCAAGACUAUCUCAGACUUGGUCUGGAAGAAUUUACACUAAGACCUGUUAUAAAAUGGUGGCCUACUGUAUGAAUUCAAGUGAAACAGAAGCAGGUGAAGAUGCUGUGGAAGAGUCAGUGUGUGAGAGAGGUGGUCCAGAGUCACUUGCUGCUUAAGAACACUUUCCCAUUAGUUCCGGGUGAUGACUGCAUACAGCUCCUUUGGGAAGAAAAUGCCUCCCCCAGUGAGAAUCUGAUUAUAAUGGCUGACGUAUGGAUGGAUGUGUAGGCGCAGUGUGGUUCAACCUGUUUCCAUUGUGGUUGGAAAACUUUUUUAAAAGUCCACUCCAAAACAUGAAAAGUCGUAGUGUUAGGAAGAUUUAUUUCCAAACAGUGGCCUCCACACUGCGCGGCAGCACUUCUUUUUAGUAUUUGUAAGCUUUUGCCCACUUUCAAUUGAGCCAGCCCUAGCGUGGUAUGUAUUGCAUGCUGAACAAUAUAGAGUUUGUUUUUCCUUUCUGAUGAUUUUAAACUCUUAAAGAACAGGAAAGCAUCUGGUAAGAAGAAAUCAUGAGUCCGUCAGUGCCCUUACUCAUAUGCGUCUCCAGUGGCCUCAUGUUGUGGUCACAGGAGUUUCCUGUUCACAGCAAUGUGUGUGAUAUGGACCCAGCAUCCACUGUCGUGCUUUUAAACUGAUUCCUGGGACAUAGCUUACCACUGGAACAGCAGACCAGUGUUGCACUGUUUCUAAAGCUAAGCUUUUCCUUAUUUAUUUUGGUACUACCUAAGUGACUUGGUUUUGACUGUCCCUAAGAGAGGGAACCACUUUGCUGAAUUUUUAAAAAGUCCAACUGCUCUUUCAUCUUUUAUGCUUAGAAACCUGUUCUCUCCAGAUGCACUUCUGAGGCAUGGAUGAGCUGAGCGUAUGGCUAGAAAUUGGAAGUUUACAGCUAUUACCAGGGGGCUAACUCCCGGGGCAUCGCAGUAGCUUCUGGCACCCGUGGCUUCAUGUCUUUAGCAAAGUCUUGAUGUCAUGGAAAGAGAAAAAGUGUAUGCAGUUAGUUACCUGAUUUUGUAAACAAACAGUGGCUGACCUGGGCCCUUAAAUCACCUUCACACCUUUUAGAACCACAAGUGGUUCUUUUUGACUCCAACAAAGGAAACGAAGUUGAAAAAGUCAAGCCCCUGUGUACUGGGGCCGGACUUCCCAUCAUUUGAGUGCAGCACUUUAGUUCAGAAUCUCUGUGCCAUGUGGUUUUUUAAACAGGAAGAUUGUUGGUUCCUUAGUAUUAAGAUAGAUAGUCCCUAUUUUGAGUGGAAUUUUUCAUUUGUAAGGGGUAUGUUCCUUCUCUGAUUCUUGCUUUCCUCAAACAGGAUACUGCCUGCUGUAAGACCAUCCUCUAUGGUUGUACUUUAAUAAACAGUAAUUUUUUUUUACC